rnacentral:rRNA from 1 species
GACAGAGGUGCCAAGCGUUAGGCGGAAUCACUGGGCUUAAAGCGUGUGUAGGCGGGUCUCUAAGUGCCUUGUGAAAUCCCACGGCUCAACCGUGGAACUGCUGGGCAUACUGGAGGUCUUGAGCCACCUAGAGGCGAGCGGAACGAAUGGUGGAGCGGUGAAAUGCGUAGAUAUCAUUCGGAACGCCAAUGGUGAAAACAGCUCGCUGGGGGUGUGCUGACGCUGAGACACGAAAGCCAGGGGAUCAAACGGG